AUUGAACGCUGGCGGCAGGCCUAACACAUGCAAGUCGAACGAAGUCUUCGGACUUAGUGGCGGACGGGUGAGUAACACGUGGGAACGUGCCUUUAGGUUCGGAAUAACUCAGGGAAACUUGUGCUAAUACCGAAUGUGCCCUUCGGGGGAAAGAUUUAUCGCCUUUAGAGCGGCCCGCGUCUGAUUAGCUAGUUGGUGAGGUAAAGGCUCACCAAGGCUACGAUCAGUAGCUGGUCUGAGAGGAUGACCAGCCACAUUGGGACUGAGACACGGCCCAAACUCCUACGGGAGGCAGCAGUGGGGAAUCUUGCGCAAUGGGCGAAAGCCUGACGCAGCCAUGCCGCGUGGAUGAUGAAGGUCUUAGGAUUGUAAAAUCCUUUCACCGGUGAAGAUAAUGACUGUAGCCGGAGAAGAAGCCCCGGCUAACUUCGUGCCAGCAGCCGCCGUAAAAC
rnacentral:rRNA from 1 species